rnacentral:rRNA from 1 species
UACGUAGGCAGCGAGCGUUGUUCGGAGUUACUGGGCGUAAAGGGUGUGUAGGCGGUUCUUUUAAGUUUGGUGUGAAAUCUCCCGGCUCAACCGGGAGGGUGCGCCGAAUACUGAGGAACUAGAGUACGGGAGAGGAAAGUGGAAUUCCUGGUGUAGCGGUGAAAUGCGUAGAUAUCAGGAGGAACACCGGUGGUGUAGACGGCUUUCUGGACCGUAACUGACGCUGAGACACGAAAGCGUGGGUAGCAAACAGG